UGGGGAAUUUUGGACAAUGGGCGAAAGCCUGAUCCAGCCAUGCCGCGUGUGGGAUGAAGGCCUUCGGGUUGUAAACCACUUUUGUCAGGGACGAAAAGGUUCAGGCCAAUACCUUGAACUGCUGACGGUACCUGAAGAAUAAGCACCGGCUAACUACGUGCCAGCAGCCGCGGUAAUACGUAGGGUGCAAGCGUUAAUCGGAAUUACUGGGCGUAAAGCGUGCGCAGGCGGUUCUGUAAGAUAGAUGUGAAAUCCCCGGGCUUAACCUUGGAAUUGCAUUUAUGACUGCAGGACUCGAGUUUGUCAGAGGGGGGUGGAAUUCCAAGUGUAGCAGUGAAAUGCGUAGAUAUUUGGAAGAACACCGAUGGCGAAGGCAGCCCCCUGGGACAUGACUGACGCUCAUGCACGAAAGCGUGGGGAGCAAACAGG
rnacentral:rRNA from 1 species